rnacentral:lncRNA from 1 species
CCUGAUAACCAGGAACAUGACAGAGAGAGAGUCCCAGGGAUUCCUGUGCAGCGUGUCCUGGACACAGGUGUCUCUCUUCUGUCACUCACCUUCAGUCCCACAGAUUCAUGCCUUGACCCUGGUAAGGCCCUACGUGGCUUGUGUCUGCAGUAGCAAAUUUCUUAGCAACUCCAAACUUCCUGGACUCUGCAGAAUUCCACUGUGCCUUUUGUUGAUCCUGGGGAGGAAUGAUUCUCACUCUCGUCGACAUUCCUUGCCCUGUAAUUGUCAACAGAAGCUUGCUGCUGCUUCUCUCCAGGAAGAUCAGGUCACUGUGAGGGCAAGCAGUCUCUUGUUAGUUUGGAGAGGAGAGGGGUUUGUUGUGAGAGACAGGUCCUGUUGUAGUUCUCUAGCAAUUGUCACACCCUUGGCCAUUUGUGGUGGUUUUGUCACAUUGAACGGAGGUGUAGCCAUGCAGCUAUUUGAGAGGCCUUAGGUGGACUAAAGGAGUGCUCCUGUUGCUGGCAGGGGUCAGGGAGACCGUGAAGGGCUUCUGUUGGGCUCAUCCCUGCAAAAGUUACAUGGCAACUUUUCUCAUCCUCCUCUUGAGUCCUUUUGUCACUGUAGACCAGAGACUGCACUGAAAGGCACAAACAGUGGCAUCUGUACCUCUGCGGCCAGGGUAGCAGUGCAGUUGGUUGUCGUUUCAGAGUUGAUCCUAGGAGAUAAGGCUAGGGCCCCCGACAGCCACACCUGCUGCCACUGAUCACGUGGGGAAGGCCAGUGUCCCUACCUGGAUAGAGGCCAGCUGGGCGGGGACAGCAGAGCCUGGGAGUGCUCUGUGCUCCCAGUGGCUUCUUGAAGCCUUUGGUACAACCGCCCCCCACAGCUGAGGAUUGUGGGGAGGUGUGUGCUGGGUGUGUGUGUGUGUGUGCUGCAUGCACUCUACAGGCAGGGCAGUCCUGGCAUGGGGCCGUUCUGGGCUAGAGGGGCCGGUGUGUGCUCUGGGUGCCCCAUGGCCAGGGCUCUCCUCUAGACACAGGCUCAGUCUGCUGGAGCGGGUCAGUGCCGAGGCUGUGACCACCACCCUGCACCAGGUGACUCGGGAGAGGAUGGAGGACCGUUGCCGAGGCGAGUACGAGCGCUCCUUCCUGCGUGAGUUCCACAAGAAUCCCAUGGCUGCAGGCAGUAUCGGGCCAGGAUCCCGAGGGGGC